GGCGGAAGGGUGAGUAACACGUGGGUAACCUGCCUGUAAGACUGGGAUAACUCCGGGAAACCGGAGCUAAUACCGGAUCGUUCCUUGAACCGCAUCGUUCAAGGAUGAAAGACGGUUUCGGCUGUCACUUACAGAUGGACCCGCGGCGCAAUAGCUACUUGCUGAGGUAACGGCUCACCAAGGCGACGAUGCGUAGCCGACCUGAGAGGGUGAUCGGCCACCCUGGGACUGAGACACGGCCCAGACUCCUACGGGAGGCAGUAGUAGGGAAUCUUCCGCAAUGGACGAAAGUCUGACGGAGCAACGCCGCGUGAGUGAUGAAGGUUUUCGGAUCGUAAAGCUCUGUUGUUAGGGAAGAACAAGUGCAAGAGUAACUGCUUGCACCAUGACGGUACCUAACCAGAAAGCUACGGCUAACUACGUGCCAGCAGCCGCGGUAAUACGUAGGUGGCAAGCGUUGUCCGAAAUUAUUGGGCGUAAAGGGCUCGCAGGCGGUUUCUUAAGUCUGAUGUGAAAGCCCCCGGCUCUACAGGGGAGGGUCAUUGGAAACUGGGAAACUUGAGUGCAGAAGAGGAGAGUGGAAUACCACGUGUCGCGGUGAAAUGCGUUGAGAUGUGGAGGAACACAAGUGGCGAAGGCGACUCU
rnacentral:rRNA from 1 species